rnacentral:rRNA from 1 species
GACGAACGCUGGCGGCGUGCCUAAUACAUGCAAGUCGAGCGAAGUUUUUCUGGUGCUUGCACCGGAAAAACUUAGCGGCGAACGGGUGAGUAACACGUAAAGAACCUGCCUCAUAGACUGGGACAACUAUUGGAAACGAUAGCUAAUACCGGAUAAUAGCAUUAACUGCAUGGUUGAUGUUUAAAAGUUGGUUUUGCUAACACUAUGAGAUGGCUUUGCGGUGCAUUAGCUAGUUGGUGGGGUAAAGGCCUACCAAGGCGACGAUGCAUAGCCGACCUGAGAGGGUGGUCGGCCACACUGGGACUGAGACACGGCCCAGACGCCUACGGGAGGCAGCAGUAGGGAAUCGUCCGCAAUGGGCGAAAGCCUGACGGAGCAACGCCGCGUGAGUGAAGAAGGAUUUCGGUUCGUAAAGCUCUGUUGUUAGGGAAGAAUGAUUGUGUAGUAACUAUACACAGUAGAGACGGUACCUAACCAGAAAGCCACGGCUAACUACGUG